GUUAGGAAUAUUGGACAAUGGGCGAAAGCCUGAUCCAGCCAUGUCGCGUGAACGAUGAAGGCCUUCGGGUUGUAAAGUUCUUUAGCCGAUGAUUAUAAUGACUGUAGUCGGAAAAUAAGCCCCGGCUAACUUCGUGCCAGCAGCCGCGGUAAUACGAAGGGGGCGAGCGUUAUUCGGAAUCACUGGGCGUAAAGCGUGCGUAGGCGGUUUUGUAAGUUAGGAGUGAAAGCCCAGGGCUCAACCUUGGAAUUGCUCUUAAAACUGCAAGGCUCGAAUCUCGGAGAGGAUAGCGGAAUUUCCAGUGUAGCAGUGAAAUGCGUAGAUAUUGGAAGGAACACCAGUGGCGUAAGCGGCUAUCUGGACGAGUAUUGACGCUGAGGCACGAAAGCGUGGGGAUCAAACAGGAUUAGAAACCCUGGUAGUCC
rnacentral:rRNA from 1 species